AUGUCAAGAAGGAAGGCUUAACCC
rnacentral:piRNA from 1 species